CUCGCUGUGUGUUCUUUUUGUAGGCCUGGCUCAAGCCUGGGGGUAAGUUACUGAUCACGGAUUACUGUUGCGGAGAGGCGCCCUGGUCACCUCUCUUCGAGGCCUACGUCAAACAGCGAGGCUACGUCCUCUACACUGUCCCGAGCUACAGGAAGUUGCUCCAGGACGUGGGAUUUAUCCAGGUCCGGGCAGAAGAUCGAACCGAGCAGUUUGUGGAGAUUUUGAAGCUCGAGCUCCAAGGGCUGGAGACCAACCGGGCCCAGUUUCUGCAGGAAUUCUUGGAUGAGGAUUACCGGUACAUUGUGGAUGGUUGGAAGGAGAAGGUGUUUCGCAGUGAGCAGGGCGAUCAGCGGUGGGCCUUAUUCUACGCCGAGAAACCUGGCACUGGGAGCCUGAUCCCAGCCGGAGCUGGGGGGAGGGCUGGAGGGGCAGCACAAUGUGGGACCAAGGGCGAGUGAGUCCUUCCGGCUUCUCUCGUGGGAAGUGCAGGAAGUGUCCAAAACCAGCAGCACAGGAGAUCGGGCUGAACGGCCUCCUCCUGUCAGCUCCAGUUUUGUUGUUUGUU